AAUAACUACUUGUUUAACUAUUGUGGGGAUUUGCUCUGGUAGACAGGCUUGCGGACGCUGUAUAGAGGCAACGACGUCUUUAACUUCAACAGUUCAGUUUUUAUUCACACAUAAGGAUAAGCAAAACAAAAAGUCAGUUUCAAGGAAAACAGUCACCUUGAGUCUGGUGUUUGUUCACACCAUGCAGCAAUGCAGAA